rnacentral:rRNA from 1 species
GAUGAACGCUGGCGGCGUGCCUAAUACAUGCAAGUCGAGCGAACAGACGAGGAGCUUGCUCCUCUGACGUUAGCGGCGGACGGGUGAGUAACACGUGGAUAACCUACCUAUAAGACUGGGAUAACUUCGGGAAACCGGAGCUAAUACCGGAUAACAUGUUGAACCGCAUGGUUCAACAGUGAAAGACGGUCUUGCUGUCACUUAUAGAUGGAUCCGCGCCGCAUUAGCUAGUUGGUAAGGUAACGGCUUACCAAGGCAACGAUGCGUAGCCGACCUGAGAGGGGGAUCGGCCACACUGGAACUGAGACACGGUCCAGACUCCUACGGGAGGCAGCAGUAGGGAAUCUUCCGCAAAGGGCGAAAGCCUGACGGAGCAACGCCGCGUGAGUGAUGAAGGUCUUCGGAUCGUAAAACUCUGUUAUUAGGGAAGAACAAAUGUGUAAGUAACUGUGCACAUCUUGACGGUACCUAAUCAGAAAGCCACGGCUAACUACGUG